UACAGAGGGUGCGAGCGUUGUCCGGAAUCAUUGGGCGUAAAGGGCGCGUAGGUGGCGGGACAAGCGUGCGGUGAAAGCUCGGGGCUCAACCCCGAGUCGGCCGUGCGAACUGUUUUGCUUGAGCACUGUAGAGGCAGGCGGAAUUCCGGGUGUAGCGGUGGAAUGCGUAGAGAUCCGGAGGAACACCGGUGGCGAAGGCGGCCUGCUGGGCAGUAGCUGACACUGAGGCGCGACAGCGUGGGGAGCAAACAGG
rnacentral:rRNA from 1 species